rnacentral:rRNA from 1 species
AGAGUUUGAUCCUGGCUCAGGACGAACGCUGGCGGCGUGCCUAACACAUGCAAGUCGAACGGAACUUCUUUAAAGGAUUUCUUCGGAAUGAAUUUGAUUAAGUUUAGUGGCGGACGGGUGAGUAACGCGUGAGUAACCUGCCUCUAAGAGGGGAAUAACAUUCUGAAAAGAAUGCUAAUACCGCAUAAUAUAUAUUUAUCGCAUGGUAGAUAUAUCAAAGAUUUAUCGCUUAGAGAUGGACUCGCGUCCGAUUAGUUAGUUGGUGAGGUAACGGCUCACCAAGACCGCGAUCGGUAGCCGGACUGAGAGGUUGAACGGCCACAUUGGGACUGAGACACGGCCCAGACUCCUACGGGAGGCAGCAGUGGGGGAUAUUGCGCAAUGGGGGAAACCCUGACGCAGCAACGCCGCGUGAAGGAUGAAGGUCUUCGGAUUGUAAACUUCUUUUAUUAAGGACGAAGAAAGUGACGGUACUUAAUGAAUAAGCUCCGGCUAACUACGUGCCAGCAGCCGCGGUAAUACGUAGGGAGCAAGCGUUGUCCGGAUUUACUGGGUGUAAAGGGUGCGUAGGCGGCUUUGCAAGUCAGAUGUGAAAUCUAUGGGCUCAACCCAUAGCCUGCAUUUGAAACUGCAGAGCUUGAGUGAAGUAGAGGCAGGCGGAAUUCCCCGUGUAGCGGUGAAAUGCGUAGAGAUGGGGAGGAACACCAGUGGCGAAGGCGGCCUGCUGGGCUUUAACUGACGCUGAGGCACGAAAGCGUGGGUAGCAAACAGGAUUAGAUACCCUGGUAGUCCACGCUGUAAACGAUGAUUACUAGGU